CUUGACAAACUAAAGAUGGCGACCGGCGCACGGGUGAGUAACACGUAUCCAACCUGCCGAUAACUCGGGGAUAGUCCUUCGAAAGAAAGAUUAAUAUCCGAUAGUAUAUUAAAACCGCAUGGUUUUACUAUUAAAGAAUUUCGGUUAUCGAUGGGGAUGCGUUCCAUUAGUUUGUUGGCGGGGUAACGGCCCACCAAGACUACGAUGGAUAGGGGUUCUGAGAGGAAGGUCCCCCACAUUGGAACUGAGACACGGUCCAA
rnacentral:rRNA from 1 species